AAAAAAGAAAAAAGAAGAAAAUAAAAUUGAAAAAAAAUUUAUUUGUUUUCGACAUUUGUUUUCUGACAUUUGUUUUUUUGAGCCCUUUUUGAGUUUUUGUUGUAAUUUUGUUUGUUUAUCUGUCUCCAGUUUUGUUUCUUUUCUCAUCUUCUGAAAGACGAUCAGAUAUUGUC
rnacentral:ribozyme from 1 species